UUUUUUUAGCGUAUUGGCUGCAUUUUGUUCAACCUUUUCCUGUGAGUGGAUGUAGACCAGGUGAUCUUCAGGUGAUGACUGAGUGAAAACAGGUGAGCUGAUUACAGAUGAAAGGCAGGUGAGGAUGGAGCCGGAAGCAGAACCAACAGAGGGCAUUUAAAGCUUCACAAGCUUGGACAGAACCAGACAUAUUUAGGCUUUUAUUUUGAAGGAAGCGCCCGGAAGUCUCGCUUUGUUCUACCUCCGCGCGGCUUGUCGCUCCGACUCUGGUGGGAGAGGCUUCCUGUGAGUGAGGAGAGACAGGGUGGGUGAUGGAUGAAGGGACGGAGGAGUGGACCAGGUCAGGAGAGAGCUCAGAAACUGGUCCGAGGCGUCCUCGGUGAUCCGGAGCUGGGAGAACGGCAGACAGACGAACGCACGGUCCGGAUCUGGGCCCAGCCUGCCUCAGGAGACUCCACCUGCUCAUCUUUCUCACCCAGCAUCUGUGUGAGGGAUUCCUCACCUCCUGUCUCUCUCCCGUGCCGUGGACCUGCUGACCCAGUGGAGCUCCAGCGGCCCAUGGCCUCCGCUCAUCUCCACCAGUGAGCCAAGCUGGCCUCCGCCGCCUCGUCGCCUCCCCCGGCCCCAGACCUGGAUCCGGACCCCGAGCCCAGUCAGCGUCUCAGCAAAGAAGAGCAGUAUGUGAGCGAGGGCGAAUGUAGCCGGCUCGACGCACACCUGGAGCCGCCUCAGUGCAGGGAUGCUGAGACCAUCACAGGUAGGGUGGGGAUGGUCUUAGGAGUGCUUUGGUACGGUUCAUUUCAUCCAACUUUACUUAGAAAGUUCUUGAUGCCAGUCAGGAUGGAAAAUGUUGUUAGAACUAUCUUCAGAACGUUUGAACUCUUCACAUUUAAUAUAUCUUAA